CGGGGUGCAGUCCAACGGAGGGGCGGGUGCUUGCACCUGGUGGCCAGUGGCGAACGGGUGAGUAAUACAUCGGAACGUACCUUGUAGUGGGGGAUAGCUCGGCGAAAGCCGGAUUAAUACCGCAUACGCUCUGAGGAGGAAAGCGGGGGACCUUCGGGCCUCGCGCUACAAGAGCGGCCGAUGUCAGAUUAGCUAGUUGGUGGGGUAAAAGCUCACCAAGGCGACGAUCUGUAGCUGGUCUGAGAGGACGACCAGCCACACUGGGACUGAGACACGGCCCAGACUCCUACGGGAGGCAGCAGUGGGGAAUUUUGGACAAUGGGCGAAAGCCUGAUCCAGCAAUGCCGCGUGUGUGAAGAAGGCCUUCGGGUUGUAAAGCACUUUUGUCCGGAAAGAAAUCCUCUGGGUUAAUACCUCGGGGGGAUGACGGUACCGGAAGAAUAAGCACCGGCUAACUACGUGCCAGCAGCCGCGGUAAUACGUAGGGUGCAAGCGUUAAUCGGAAUUACUGGGCGUAAAGCGUGCGCAGGCGGUUUUGUAAGACGGAUGUGAAAUCCCGGGCUUAACCUGGGAACUGCAUUCGUGACUGCAGGCUAGAGUAUGGCAGAGGGGGGUAGAAUUCACGUGUAGCAGUGAAUGCGUAGAGAUGUGGAGGAAUACCGA
rnacentral:rRNA from 1 species